AUGGCCGCGCUCAAGGCACUGUCUCCACGUCUCCUCGUCCCGCUCGCCGUCGCGCUCCUCCUCGCGCUCGGCCUCGUCGCCGACUUCCUCUGGGCUUCCUCCACCUCCGCCCGCCGGGUCGCCUCCUCUUCCAGGGCGGUCAAGGUGAGGAAGAGCGAUAGGGUGCGCGGGAAGAAGCCGGCGGCGGAGGGCUACCUCAACGCGACGUACGCCGACAUUCCGGCGCCGCACUGGGAAUGGGAGGAGAUGCCAGCGGCGCCCGUGCCCCGCCUCGACGGCUACUCCGUCCAGAUCCGCGACAUGCUCUACGUCUUCGCUGGGUACGAGAACCUCGACCAUGUGCAUUCUCAUGUGGAUGUGUACAAUUUCACUUCAAACGCAUGGACAGGAAGGUUUGAUAUGCCCAAGGAGAUGGCAAAUUCACAUUUAGGGAUAGCAACAGAUGGGAGGUACAUUUAUGCGCUGACCGGGCAAUUCGGUCCCCAGUGCCGAUCCCCUAUAAACCGCAAUUUCGUUGUAGACACAGUGACAAAAGAGUGGCAUGAACUGCCCCCUUUGCCAGUACCUAGGUAUGCACCUGCUACUCAACUUUGGCGUGGACGGCUCCAUGUGAUGGGUGGUGGAAAAGAAGACCGCCAUGAGCCUGGAUUGGAGCACUGGAGCUUAGCUGUCAAGGAUGGCAAAGCAUUGGAGAAUGAGUGGCGAACUGAGAUACCCAUACCACGCGGUGGACCUCAUAGGGCAUGUAUUGUUGCUAAUGAUAGACUCUUUGUCAUUGGUGGUCAAGAGGGAGAUUUUAUGGCAAAACCAGGCUCGCCAAUAUUUAAAUGUGUACGGAGACACGAGGUUGUGUAUGCUGAUGUGUAUGUGCUAGAUGAUGGAAACAAAUGGAAGCAGCUCUCUCCAAUGCCAAAGCCAAAUUCCCACAUAGAGUGUGCAUGGGUUAUCGUUAAUAACUCUGUCAUAAUUGUUGGUGGGACUACAGAAAAACACCCUAUUACCAAGAAGAUGAUUCUUGUUGGUGAAGUCUUCCGGUUUGAUUUGGACACACUGACGUGGUCAGUCAUUGGACGAAUGCCUUUCCGAAUCAAGACAGCCCUAGCUGGCUACUGGGAUGGGUGGCUUUAUUUCACUUCUGGGCAGCGAGAUAGGGGGCCUGAUAAUCCUGCUCCAAAGAAAGUUGUUGGCAGCACGUGGAGAACAAAACUACACCUUUGAUGUGGAAAGUUUAGCAGUUGUUAAUAUAGAUUAGAGAUCAAGACCAGCUGUUGGGUGAUGACUGAUGACACUCUGCUGGAUGAUUGUGACUAAUACAUAUUUCUUCGGUUAAACUUUGCCGGCAUUGAUGGGGUACCUGUCACACUUAACAAUGACUAAUCAUCACCUCAUGAAGCUGAUUUGGCCUUAUCAUAUUAUUUAGUAAUGCUUAAUUAGACCCAUCCUCGCCGUGGACGCCCGGUCUGGCGGUGGCGCAUGGACGGCCGGCGAUGAGCUACCCGUCGUCGUCGCGGCUAGGCAAGCUGCACGCACGCAUGGGACCAUUGAUUCAGUGUCUCUUACACAUGUCAUGGAGGAAAAUGGCUGUAACCAAGACAAGGAAAAAAAAGAGAGAAGAAACCAAAGGUGUUUCAGAGUUUAGAAGUGGUCGAGGGUUGGAGCAGUUGCUAGCUCCGUCUAGUAGUUCUUCAGCUUUUAUCUAGUGGCCACGUCUAAUUUGCAAGAGCUGCGGGUCCCAUUCGUUCUAGUACUCUUUUUGUUUUAUAAUAUAAGAUUUUUU